CUAUAUAUACAUCUUUAUCAUUUGCACUUUGUAAAAAAAACAGGGAAAAAACUCAUGCAACUAACUAUAUACUUAUAUUCCAAUAGCGUUGCCUAUGAAAUAGAGAUGGCAUCAUCAACUGAACUCAGUCUCAACACUGAAUCUUUGGUGGAAAAAACACAGAAGCUGGAAGAAUUUGUAGCCUGUUUGGAAGAAGAAAAGCUCAAGAUUGAGGCUUUCAAGCGUGAGCUUCCACUUUGCAUGCAACUUCUCACAAACGCCACGGAGGCGUCGAGGCAGGAGCUGCAGUCGCAGAGGAUGAAGCAACUUUCUGCGGAUAAAUCGAACUGGAUGGCGUCUGCGACUCUGUGGAGCGAUCAAGUUGAGGGAUGAAGAAUUCCGUCCCCGGAGUUAGGUCUUGCACCGCCUGAUAACAAGGAGAAGAGAAAGGCGAGGAGGUGUUGGUCGCCGCACUUGCACAAGCCUUUCCUACAUGCGAUGCACAUGCUCGGUGGUUCACAACUUUAGUAUAUAUUACUCUCUUCGUCCCAUCCAAGUUGUCUAUAUGUCUUUUUUAAUUUGUGAGACAUAUUUCGAUAUUUAGAAUAAAAUUUUCAUUUACUGUCUCAAAUUCGUGUCAUUCAAGAACAUGAUCAUCUUGAAUGAGACUGAUGCAUUAAGUUUGACGAAACUCGAGCAAUUUGAUUCUUACUAGCUAAUUAUCUAUUUGGAUCGAUGUAGUGGCAACUCCCAAACAAAUCACGCAAUUAAUGAAGGUCGAGGGAUUAACUAGUGAUGAAGUUAAAAGCCAUUUACAGAAGUACAGACUGCACGCAGGAAUCCAUGCUCCAAGCCCAAUGGUGGUCGUAGGUAACAUAUGGGAGUAUGCAGCCCACGGCGGAGCACCGCCUGCCUCCUAUGAACGUAGGAUACUACCACCACCUUAAUAAUAAGACAUACUUUAUCGCAUAGUUAAUAUUGAUAUUUUUUAGAGAUGAAUAAUGUUAAUGUCUUAAUGGCUGUUUAAUUGGUCGGAUUUGUGUUUGCGUUGAAAUUUUUUAGCCUCUUGGUAACUCAUGGCCCAUUAAAAAGGAUAAGCUCAAGAUGGGCUAGUCAUUCUUAUUGGAUUAUACUAGUGCUUCAAGUUCAAUCUUAGACAUUAACUUCUUCACCUACCACUACCACAGUAAUUUUGAAAGUCCAAUCAUAACGCAUGAACAUAUAAAUUCUUACAAGUAUUGUGACAUACACCAAAAUCUUCCAUCCUUUCCAAAUUACUCCCUCCGUCCCUGAAAAUUUGUCCCAAUUUACCAUUUCGAUCCGUCCCUGAAAAUUUGUCUCACUUCAAACUUACUAAAAAUGGACAUAUCUAUUUACUCCUCCACAUUCUUGUUAUUUGCACUUUGACCCCUUCUCAAUUACAAUCGGGUGAUGCAUUUUGCAUUCCACCCUUUCGCUUCCCUCAUUACUCCACCGACGCCUUCACUCUACACAACCACCCACAGCCUCCUUCAUCAAUGCACAACCACCCACCGCCUCCAUGAAUGCCAUUAAACCACCCAUCGCAGCCGGAAUUUCUCCGGUGAAUCGGUUGUAGUUCAAGCUCAGAACUGACAAGUUGCUGAAACGGAAUAGAUCGCUAGGCAAGGUGCCAGUGAAGAAAUUGCGAUGGAGCGUGAGCGAUUGGAGCUGAAACGCAGAGAAUGAUCUUCGCCGACGACUUUGACAGAUUAGAAUAAACCGGCAUCAAUAAACUUAACUAAAUUUAAAAGAUUAAAUAUCUUAAAUAUGUUAUCUAAUUGUAAAAUGGGCUUUGAAAUAUUUUUCUUUAUUUGAAUAAAUUCUUAGAAGUCCAUUAAAAAUAUAUUCUCAUCUUAAAAUAUCAAUUAAUGUUAUAGUAAUAUUUUUUUACAGUAUAUCAAAAUCAACUUAUCUAAAUUAACCACCUACUUAUAUAAAGUAAAUAUUUCUUAAUUUCUUCUACUCUUAGUUUUAUAAUUUAAAUUUUCAACCUUAUUAUUCAUAUUCAAUUUUUUAAAUCUUUAAAAAUUUGGUAUGUUACAGAAAAA